rnacentral:tRNA from 1 species
GGGCCCGUAGCUCAGCAUGGAUAGAGCGGCGGCCUCCUAAGCCGUAGGUCGUGGGUUCGAAUCCCACCGGGCCCGCCA